rnacentral:pre_miRNA from 1 species
AUAACAUUUGGACCAUCGGUCCGUCGAGCAAUUUCACUCGUUCGCUGGAAGAUCUUUCCUUUGUCGU